GAUGAACGCUGGCGGCGUGCCUAAUACAUGCAAGUCGAGCGAACGGACGAGAAGCUUGCUUCUCUGAUGUUAGCGGCGGACGGGUGAGUAACACGUGGAUAACCUACCUAUAAGACUGGGAUAACUUCGGGAAACCGGAGCUAAUACCGGAUGAUAUUUUGAACCGCAUGGUUCAAAAGUGAAAGACGGUCUUGCUGGCACUUAUAGAUGGAUCCGCGCUGCAUUAGCUAGUUGGUAAGGUAACGGCUUACCAAGGCAACGAUGCAUAGCCGACCUGAGAGGGUGAUCGGCCACCCUGGAACGGAGACACGGUCCAGACUCCUACGGGAGGCACCAGUAGGGAAUCUUCCGCAAUGGGCGAAAGCCUGACGGAGCAACGCCGCGUGAGUGAUGAAGGUCUUCGGAUCGUAAAACUCUGUUAUUAGGGAAGAACAUAUGUGUAAGUAACUGUGCACAUCUUGACGGUACCUAAUCAGAAAGCCACGGCUAACUACGUG
rnacentral:rRNA from 1 species